rnacentral:rRNA from 1 species
GAUGAACGCUGGCGGCGUGCUUAACACAUGCAAGUCGAACGGAAAGGCCCAAGCUUGCUUGGGUACUCGAGUGGCGAACGGGUGAGUAACACGUGGGUGAUCUGCCCUGCACUUCGGGAUAAGCCUGGGAAACUGGGUCUAAUACCGGAUAGGACCACAUUUUGGAUGGUGUGGUGGAAAGUUUUUCGGUGUGGGAUGAGCUCGCGGCCUAUCAGCUUGUUGGUGGGGUAAUGGCCUACCAAGGCGUCGACGGGUAGCCGGCCUGAGAGGGUGUACGGCCACAUUGGGACUGAGGUACGGCCCAGACGCCUACGGGAGGCAGCAGUGGUGAAGAAUGCACAAUGGGCGGAAGCCUGAUGCAGCGACGCCGCGUGGGGGAUGACGGCCUUCGGGUGGUAGACACCUUUCGCUAGGGACGAAGCGCAAGUGACGGUACCUGGAGAAGAAGCACCGGCUAACUACGUG